UGCCCCGUGGCUGAGUUGGUUACAGCGUCCGACUGUUAUGAAUCUUUCAUCGCAAUUUACAAUCGGAAGGUCGAGAGUUCGAGCCUCUCCGGGGCAG